UUCAGGAUAACAUAAUAAGAGGU
rnacentral:snRNA from 1 species